GGAAUUGUUCGCAAUGGGCGCAAGCCUGACGACGCAACGCCGCGUGGAGGAUGAAGGGCUUCGGCUCGUAAACUCCUUUCGACCGAGAUGAAUACCCGCAGGGCUAACAUCCCUGCGGACUGACAGUAUCGAGGGAAGAAGCCCCGGCUAACUCCGUGCCAGCAGCCGCGGUAAUACGGGGGGAGCAAGCGUUGUUCGGAUUUACUGGGCGUAAAGGGCGCGUAGGCGGCCACCGCAAGUCGACUGUGAAAUCUCUGGGCUUAACCCAGAACGGUCAGCCGAUACUGCGGGGCUAGAGUGCAGAAGGGGCAACUGGAAUUCUCGGUGUAGCGGUGAAAUGCGUAGAUAUCGAGAGGAACACCUGCGGCGAAGGCGGGUUGCUGGGCUGACACUGACGCUGAGGCGCGAAAGCUAGGGGAGCGAAC
rnacentral:rRNA from 1 species